rnacentral:lncRNA from 1 species
GUGGAAUGAAACAUAGUGGAGUAUGAUCUACACAGGGAGCUUGUGACCGGAGUAUAUAUGGGGGAAAUUUUGGCCCUGGGAAGGUGAGGAACCAGCAUGUAGCACUGUCCAAGGCUGACAGCCCAUCUGAAGAGGAUCCUGAGCUCUCAAUAGAGACUGUCUGGAUCAGGCAAACACAGGGUAUCCUGCAUGACCGAGGACACUGGACUUGUGACUGUCCUGCCAGUACCACCCUGUGUUCCCACAGGGCAGAGCAUUGUCCCCAGGAGUGGUGAAGUAGCAGAAGGUGGAUGCAACUAUGCCAAGGGGAUUUGCUAGAGACCAUAUAUGGAAUCUGUAACAGAACCAGGACAUCCUACAUCCUGCCACAGAAUGAUGCUGAAAGAGGCCCUAAGGCUGUUUCUGUUGUCCUCCAGUUUGCAUCAGUGGAUGUGAAGAUUGUGCUAAACUCAUCUGAAGAGCCUCCUAAAACCAGGCAGAUGGUUUGAUUUGCAGUGGGAAAGAAAAAAGUGGAGAAAAAGUAAGUGUUUGAAACCUAUUCCCACCCCUCACCCCCAGUAAAACUCCUUAGGGUAAUAU